rnacentral:rRNA from 1 species
GAUGAACGCUGGCGGCGUGCUUAACACAUGCAAGUCGAACGGAAAGGCACUGCUUUUGUGGGGUGCUCGAGUGGCGAACGGGUGUGUAAAACGCGAGUAACAUGUCCUUGACUUUGGGGUAAAUCCUGGGAACAGGGGCUCAAACACGAUAGGAGAUCUUGAUGCACGGUGGGGGUUGGAAAGUUUUGGCGGUUGGGGCUGGACUAGCGGCUUAUCCGCUGGUUGGUGGGGUAGUGGCUUACCAAGCCUUUGACGGGUAGCCGGCCUGAGAGGGUGACCGGGCACAUGGGGACUGAGAGACGGCGCAGACGCCAACGGGAGGCAGCAGUGGGGAAUAUGGCACAAUGGGCGGACGCCUGAUGCGGCAACGCCGCGUGCGUGAUGACGGCCUUCGGGGUGUGAACCGCUGUCUCCUGUGACGAAGCGUGAUUGACGGUAAUGGGUAAAGAAGCACCGGCUAACUACGUG